rnacentral:misc_RNA from 2 species
CAAGUGACCCCGGUCUAACCACCGGGAUGUUCAUAACCCUUUGUUGUCCGACUCUGUUGCCUCCGGGGCGACCCUGCCUUCGGGUGGGGGCUCCGGGUGGACACUUCAAACUCUUGCGUAACUUUGCAGUCUGAGUAAACUUAAUUAAUAAAUUA